GACGAACGCUGGCGGCGUGCCUAACACAUGCAAGUCGAGCGAGAAUCUCUUGACGGAUCCCUUCGGGGUUAAGAUAAGAGAGGAAAGCGGCGGACGGGUGAGUAACGCGUGGAUAACCUGCCUCAUACAGGGGGAUAACAGUUAGAAUUGACUGCUAAUACCGCCUAAGCGCACAGUACCGCAUGGUACGGUGUGAAAAACUCCGGUGGUAUGAGAUGGAUCCGCGUCUGAUUAGCUAGUUGGCGGGGUAACGGCCCACCAAGGCGACGAUCAGUAGCCGACCUGAGAGGGUGACCGGCCACAUUGGGACUGAGACACGGCCCAAACUCCUACGGGAGGCAGCAGUGGGGAAUAUUGCACAAUGGGCGAAAGCCUGAUGCAGCGACGCCGCGUGAGUGAAGAAGUAUUUCGGUAUGUAAAGCUCUAUCAGCAGGGAAGAAAAUGACGGUACCUGACUAAGAAGCCCCGGCUAACUACGUGCCAGCAGCCGCAGUAACAC
rnacentral:rRNA from 1 species